rnacentral:rRNA from 1 species
GAUGAACGCUGGCGGCGUGCCUAAUACAUGCAAGUCGAGCGAACAGACGAGGCGCUUGCCUGUCUUACGUUAGCGGCGGACGGGUGAGUAACACGUGGAUAACCUGCCUAUAAGACUAACAUAACUACGGGGAACCGAAUCUAACACCGGACAAGAUAUUGAACGGGAGGGAUCAAUGGAGAAAGACGGUUUUGCUGUCACUUGGCCGCAUUAGCUAGUUGGUGUGGUAACGGCGUACCAAGGCGACGAUCCGUAACCGACCUGAGAGGGUGAUCAGCCACACUGGAACUGAGACACGGUCCAGACUCCUACGGGAGGCAGCAGUAGGGAAUCUUGCGCAAUGGGCGAAAGCCUGACCGAGCAACGCCGCGUGAGUGAUGAAGGUCUUCGGAUCGUAAAGCUCUGUUAUUAGGGAAGAACAACUGUGUAAUUAACUCUGCACGUUUUGACGUUACCUAAACAGAAAGCCCCGGCUAACUACGUG